rnacentral:lncRNA from 1 species
GCUCUAGUGUCACUACAUUGCAGACUUGAGACUCAUCUAUCCGAAGGAAGCGAUCCAUGCACUGGUCUAUCCGGAUCAAUCACCAUCUCCAUGAUGAUCCUAUGAUUAGGAGCAAUUUAGGAAUUAACCACUGAUGACACAUGUCUCAAAUUCGUAACUCUUUGAGAAUAUAUGUCAUCAUCUUGUUAAUCCCUUAGAUGAUUCAUAGGCACAUAAAUAUGAAUGGUAAUAUAAAUAUCCAAUAAAUAUAAAACUAUAUCCUAGAGA